UGACUGGUCAUGUUCUCAAUGUCACGUGCUGUCCGGGGCGGGUGGCAGAGCCAGUUUUUCUGCUCCCAAAGUGAGACUUGGGGAGGAGACCGCAAUGCUCAAAUAGCCACCACGCUGCCUGCUGCCAGCUAGAUGCCAAGGAGCCCACUCACCUUUCCUGCUUCAGGGUUUGGACGGGAAGAUAAGGAGAGAGAGGAGAAGGAAGAGGAAAAAAAACAAGAGGCAGAGGAGGAAAAGGACGAGGGAGUUGGGGAUGGUGACAACAGGAGCAGCAGCAGCACUGAGGAGCCCCAGGACCAGGGCCGUGCUGAGGACGAUGAGAAGGAAGCCCAGGAGUAGACUUGCUGGACGUGCCGAGGAGGUGGGGAUGCUGGAGGGGGCUAGCCACUGGUAGCCAAAUAAAAGCAUUUGGACCCCAAAGAGAGAUGCUAUU
rnacentral:lncRNA from 1 species